GUUUACCUCUAGACUUCUUGCUUUGUGAAAUUAUAAACUCCUCAUUGUCUUGAAUGCACCAAGGAAAGGCCAUUUGUGGGGACAUAGCGAGAAGGCAGCUGUCUGCAAGCCAGGAGGAGAACCCUCACCAGAAACCUCACAGAAAUCGGCCAGCACCCUCAUCUCGGGCUUCCAGCUUCAGAACAACGAGAAAACAAAUUUCUGUGGUGUCCUGGUUCCCAUUUGUAAUUGGCACCCUAAUGAAACCGUUUUCUGUAGCCCUGGAAAUGGCUGAAAAUGAGGGGAGGGAAAUAAAGUGCUAUAAUUCAGAGCAUGGAGCACACCUUCCUGGUUCACCUGAGUUGGAUUCGGAGAGGUAAAAUGGCCAUUACCUCGUCUAAGCUGCCACUUACAGACACAGUACAGGAUGAGGCCCAGGCCCACAGAGACAACGAUGAUGGCCACAGCUAAGAUGAUCCAGAAAUUAUUCCUCCACCAGCUCAUUGCAGUGGAAUCCUGAGAAGAAUGGAGAGAGAAGAAUGAGUUGUUUUUCAGGAACUUGGGGUCAGCUCUUAUCCAGUUCAAGCCACUUAUGACCAUCAAUCCUUCAACUUGGUCUGUGUGAGUGUCCAGUAGGUGACGUUUGAUGUCAGAGCGCCAAAAACUCCAUCCUCCAUCAUGCUAAUGCCACCAUUUUGUGAACCUGCAUCCUAUGAAGAACGAUGAAGCUUGACUAGGCUUGCACAGAUCGCCGAUGUCCUACUUUUCCCUCCAAUCACCUUCCCCACACCUUAGGCCACCUGCUUCUUUGUCCCAUAAACGUCUCUAAACCCCAUCUUCGAGGAAGUGGGUUUGAGACCUGUUUUCCCAUCUCCUCACUUGGCUGCCUCAUGAAUAAAUGCAUUCUGUGCUGCAAAACUGGUCAUCUUGGCGGGGCGCGGUGGCUCACACCUGUAAUCCC
rnacentral:lncRNA from 1 species